rnacentral:rRNA from 1 species
UACGAAGGGGGCUAGCGUUGCUCGGAAUGACUGGGCGUAAAGCGCACGUAGGCGGCUUUGUAAGUUAGAGGUGAAAGCCCGGGGCUCAACUCCGGAAUUGCCUUUAAAACUGCAUCGCUAGAAUUGUGGAGAGGUAAGUGGAAUUCCGAGUGUAGAGGUGAAAUUCGUAGAUAUUGGGAAGAACACCAGUGGCGAAGGCGGCUCACUGGCCCGGUACUGACGCUGAGGUGCGAAAAGCGUGGGGAGCAAACAGG